rnacentral:lncRNA from 1 species
UUGGGGUUCACACCACAAUAUAAACCUGUAAACAAUAAUAAUAUAUGCAAUGACCCUAAACAUCCACGGACCGCUCCAGGUUAUAGUAUGAAACAAGCCACAACUUAAAUUAUAUUACAAUACAUCGAAUCCCAAUCAAUAUCUUACAACUUACAAACCUUAACGCAGUGCUUACACACAAAAGAUACUCAAAAGUUCAUAAUAUCAGCAACUCCUAGCAAGGCUCUCCAACACUCAUCCUGAUACCUUAGCUUGAUGACUAGUCUGCGGGUCCUCGCUAACAGUAUUCUCUUUCUUCACUGGAAAAGAACAUAAAGAAUCGCAAGAAUGAGCUUACAGCUCAGCAAGCAAUAUAAACAAUAAACUGAAGUUCAACAAUUAUCAAUGAGAAUGAAUCAGGAUAUCAAAUCUCUUUUUAAAGCAGUGAUUAGAAUUGGAUAUUCAUAUUUUUAUUUAAAAACCAAGGUUAGGCUGCUGAUCAGUCACGCACUAACCCCGAGCCAGGUACAUACCAAGCUCUAUCACUGGAUCCAAGGCACACAUUGGCCUAAUGACCACGAAUCUGGUCUGACCACGAAUCUGGUCCACAUUUGUAAAACAAUCCAAAUGUUUAACAAUAUAAUGAAAUCAACAAUAUCUCAAUAACCCAGAAUCAAUACCAUUUGAACAGAAGCAAUAUUACCAAAACAGAAUCAUAAUCGUUAAAUCAGAAUCAUUAUAACGAGGGUUGCAAUAUUUAUCAAGAUUAAAAGACAAUUCAGAAUUAGGUUCAAGUAUCAUCACAAUAUGUUCGAAGAAUGGCUUGAAGUCGAAAGAAAGAUUAAGUAUAUGGUGAAGACAAUCUGGUGUUUGUAGAAGAAAUAAUGCAAUUGAGAUUGACUUAGGGUUCCAAUUAUGUUUAUCUUAAAGGAAAUUCAAGUGUUAGGGUGUAUAUGUGUGAACAUUCUUCGAAAGAGUAAUAUAGGUAUUUGGUAAGACAUUGUAUAAUUUGGUGAAGUAUUGUAGCAUAUAGGUUUGUACUGUUUGGUCAUUUAUGGAUGAAAGAAUAUCAAGUAAAUGAUUUGUGUUUCCAGGUCUCAAAGAAAUAGGUACAAGUUCAAUUGAAAUCAAAGUCAAGGUUCAGCUUGUAAUUCAGGUGUCGAAAGGAUUGAAUAAGGUUUAUCAAUAAUCAGGAUCAAUAGCACAAUAUAUCAACAGAUGUAUUCUCAAAUCUUUCCAGAACAACAACAUUAUAUGCAGAACAGUAACUCAAGGAGUUUACAGAAGUACAAGUUGAGAAUAGAGCACUUGCCUUAUUCUGAAGCUUUACUUCUCUCUAUAGCUUUUACUAAUCAGAAUCACUCCAAUACUACUUGCUUUCCCUUUCUAAGCCUGUCCUUCUCUGAUAAUCACAAUAUUCAUCUAUCAAUACUUAAUCUCAUAUCAUUCUAUUUGUUUCAUAGUCGAAACAAGCUUCUAUCUACC